rnacentral:rRNA from 1 species
GAUGAACGCUGGCGGCGUGCCUAAUACAUGCAAGUCGAGCGAAUGGAUUGAGAGCUUGCUCUUAUGAAGUUAGCGGCGGACGGGUGAGUAACACGUGGGUAACCUGCCCAUAAGACUGGGAUAACUCCGGGAAACCGGGGCUAAUACCGGAUAACAUUUUGAACCGCAUGGUUCGAAAUUGAAAGGCGGCUUCGGCUGUCACUUAUGGAUGGACCCGCGUCGCAUUAGCUAGUUGGUGAGGUAACGGCUCACCAAGGCAACGAUGCGUAGCCGACCUGAGAGGGUGAUCGGCCACACUGGGACUGAGACACGGCCCAGACUCCUACGGGAGGCAGAAGUAGGGAAUCUUCCGCAAUGGACGAAAGUCUGACGGAGCAACGCCGAGUGAGUGAUGAAGGCUUUCGGGUCGUAAAACUCUGUUGUUAGGGAAGAACAAGUGCUAGUUGAAUAAGCUGGCACCUUGACGGUACCUAACCAGAAAGCCACGGCUAACUACGUGCCAGCCGCCGCGGUAA